GUAGGUGGCAAGCGUUGUCCGGAAUUAUUGGGCGUAAAGCGCGCGCAGGCGGUCCUUUGAGUCUGAUGUGAAAGCCCACGGCUCAACCGUGGAGGGUCAUUGGAAACUGGGGGACUUGAGUACAGAAGAGGAAAGCGGAAUUCCAAGUGUAGCGGUGAAAUGCGUAGAGAUUUGGAGGAACACCAGUGGCGAAGGCGGCUUUCUGGUCUGUAACUGACGCUGAGGCGCGAAAGCGUGGGGGGCAAACAGGAUUAGAUACCCUGGUAGUCCACGCCGUAAACGAUGAGUGCUAAGUGUUAGGGGGUUUCCCGCCCCCCUUAGUGCUGCAGCUAACGCAUUAAGCACUCCGCCUGGGGAGUACGGCCGCAAGGCUG
rnacentral:rRNA from 1 species